GACGAACGCUGGCGGCGUGCUUAACACAUGCAAGUCGAACGGAAAGGCCCUGCUUUUGUUUGGUGCUCGAGUGGCGAACGGGUGAGUAACACGUGAGUAACCUGCCCUUUACUUUGGGAUAACUUCAGGAAACUGGGGCUAAUACCGGAUAGGAGCUCCUCCUGCAUGUUGUGCGUUGGAAAGUUUCGGCGUUUGGGGAUGGACUCGCGGCUUAUCAGCUUGUUGGUGGGGUAGUGGCUUACCAAGGCUUUGACGGGUAGCCGGCCUGAGAGGGUGACCGGCCACAUUGGGACUGAGAUACGGCCCAGACUCCUACGGGAGGCAGCAGUGGGGAAUAUUGCACAAUGGGCGGAAGCCUGAUGCAGCAACGCCGCGUGCGGGAUGACGGCCUUCGGGUUGUAAACCGCUUUCGCCUGUGACGAAGCGUGAGUGACGGUAAUGGGUAAAGAAGCACCGGCUAACUACGUG
rnacentral:rRNA from 1 species